rnacentral:tRNA from 1 species
GGCGAGGUAGCUCAGCAGGUUAGAGCACGCGGCUCAUAUCCGCGGUGUUGGGGGUUCGAGUCCCUCCCUCGCUA